rnacentral:lncRNA from 1 species
CUUGCUCUUAGAGGGAAUUUUAAGAAAUGGAGUCAGCUAAAGAAGGAGUUGAAAACGUGUUUCCUCUGAGAGAGGUGAAUGCCAUCUCAUUAGAGACCCUUUAGACUGGAGGUUUCGAAGGCUGGAUUGUCUCUUUUUGGCAUCCUCCGAGACUAAGAAUGAAGGUCUUCUCUCCUAUUCUGAAUGCACAGAAACCGUGGAGGAGGUCAAAUAUGCAGACGAGGCAGUUAAAAAAUCACCUCCAAAGUUAGAUCAUGAUCGAAUUGCAUCAGUGAUCAUUUCCUGAUUUUGAUAAUUGCACCGAGCUUGUGUAAGAGAAUAUCCUUCUCCUUAGGAAAGACACGCUGAGAUACUUAGCAAGGAGCCAUCUUGUCUGCAACGCACCCUCCAAUCAUUCAUAAGAUAGAAAAGGACAAAGCAAAAGAGGCAGCAGACUGUGCUCCUUCGUGCUUUGUGGGAAUUCACGAGACUGCUAUUCUAGCCCGUGUUCCUUCCCGGAUGAGCUGUGGGCCCUCAAAUCUCAAUUUCUUCAUCUGCCGAAUGAAAGACUUCCAGAAGCCAUAUUUGGCAAGCUGGCCGCAGCGACCAUCUGAAUUUGUGCUCCGUGGAUAUGAGCGAGGACAACACGGCAUUUGGAGGCCUAAGAGCAUGAGUGCCAGCAGCCGAGGGGAACACGUGUGGCCAGAGUCCUAUAAGGCCUGCUGGAGCCGUGGUUCUCCAUUUAUGAGUGCGCCAAGCAGAAUCCUGUCCGCCACCCUCACCAGACUCUCAGAUCCAAGAUGGCAGAUGCCUUGCCUGUUGUUUCUCAGCAUCGUGUCUCCAACAUCUUGCAUAGUGCCCAACAUGCAGUAAGUACUUAGUAAACAUUUAUGGAAUUAAUGAAUAUUUAGUCAUGGCACCCGUAUCUUCUCUCCUUUCUCAUUCCUGCCCAGGCAACUCCAUCAAGUAUCAUGCCUUUUGCAUGGCUCUUCCUCUUCAAGAUGGUACCCUUUUCUACAUACCUAUGCACUUGAAGCACACAUGUCUUCUUUGAGUCCUUUUUUCCUUUUUUUUUUUCAGUCAUUCCUCAUAGAUCUUUUCAUUUUCAUUUCUACCAGAAUGACCGACUGUCUUAAGCAGCCUGUUCAAGUUGUCUGUGUCUCUCUUAAGGGAGAAUGAAGAAAAUCAGACCUGGGCAGCUCUCUGGGUGAGUUUCCUCACCUAUUACUAAACAUUUCAAUCCUUGGUGCAGGGGGCACUGGGAGUCAUUGUCUCAGAUGCGAACGGAAUAGGCGUACAAAUGGCAGGUGAAUUGGAAUCAAAAUGUCUACAUAAUAGCAGG